rnacentral:rRNA from 1 species
AACCGCAUGGUUCCAAUCAUAAAAGGUGGCUUUCAGCUACCACUUACUGAUGGACCCGCGGCGCAUUAGCUAGUUGGUGAGGUAACGGCUCACCAAGGCGACGAUGCGUAGCCGACCUGAGAGGGUGAUCGGCCACACUGGGACUGAGACACGGCCCAGACUCCUACGGGAGGCAGCAGUAGGGAAUCUUCCGCAAUGGACGAAAGUCUGACGGAGCAACGCCGCGUGAGUGAUGAAGGUUUUCGGAUCGUAAAACUCUGUUGUUAGGGAAGAACAAGUACCGUUCGAAUAGGGCGGCACCUUGACGGUACCUAACCAGAAAGCCACGGCUAACUACGUGCCAGCAGCCGCGGUAAUACGUAGGUGGCAAGCGUUGUCCGGAAUUAUUGGGCGUAAAGCGCGCGCAGGCGGUUUCCUAAGUCUGAUGUGAAGCCCCCGGCUCAACCGGGGAGGGUCAUUGGAACUGGGGAACUUGAGUGCAGAA